rnacentral:misc_RNA from 1 species
GCGCUCCAAGCUUGGCUACAUUUUUGCGCGCGGCGCCUUUAACGCCUUGCGUGACAAGAUGGACCCCCGCAAGGUCAAUGGCGGCGUCUUCCUCGGGUUGAACGGCGUGGUCAUCAAGAGCCAUGGCGGCACCGAUGCCGAGGGCUUUGCGUCGGCAGUUGACGUUGGCUAUGACAUGGUUCGCUACGAUCUCCNAGAUCAAUCAAACACUCAACCGCGACGGCCACGCUCUUUCGAUCGUGCCCAACGCGCAGGAGGCUGUCUCGUGACUGUGAUGCGUUCGGUUGUGCUCGGCUAUGGCGCUUACUUGCCGGAGCGCGUUUUGACCAACGCCGAACUGGCGAAGAUGGUCGACACCUCGGACGAAUGGAUCGUUCAGCGCACCGGCAUCAAGCAGCGCCAUAUCGCGGCGGAGGGUGAGUUCACCUCGCAUCUCGGUCUGAAGGCGGCACAGGCGGCGAUCGCCAAUGCCGGGAUCGACACGCAGUCGAUCGACCUGAUCGUGCUGGCGACCUCGACACC